rnacentral:snRNA from 12 species
GCGCCGCAUCCAGUGCCGUGUGCUGCACUAAUUCGUACGGUGAUGUCGACAGGCAAAUCAUUCCAAUGUACUGUUUGGGACUUGACAAUCGCAAUGCCAGGUACUGUCCGGCCA